CCAGUAGUUCCCUAGUAUAAUACACCUACACCUUUUUCUCCGUGCUCCGUGAAGUAAAUUUAAUGUUGGUUUGGUGUCCGGAUUAGAGAGAGAACCGCAAAGAGACUUUCAGAAUUUAAGGGGAAAAAAAAAAGAACUUCAGAGUUCUGACUUGACCCUUUUCUUUUCUCUGUUCUGCUGUAAGAAAGUUUGUUUGGAUUUUGUUUUGGAUUUUAUCUUCGCAUAAUGUUUCAGAUCGUUGGUGCUUUCUGAGUAAGUUGUGUUGGUUUCAUCAGUUUUUAGCCAUUUUGAUUAUCUGGAGCUUGUCGAGAGGUUAGUUUUCUACUGUAAGCUUUGUGUGGCUAUAUUCACAUUUGGGUCAUUUUUGUUUGAAUAGUUUGCAUCUAACUUGUGUUUUUUUUUUUGCUCUAGUUUUGCAGUUUGAUAUGAUAAUCAAAUAAUUUUAAUGGAAAAUCGUAUGUUAAACUUUCAAAUAUAUGCUGAGAAAUGUCUAUUUUUGGGAUGGAGAUGGAGAUAGGAAAA